GGAGCGUGGGGGGGCAGGCCUAAUACAUGCAAGUCGAACGAGCUUCCGUUGAAUGACGUGCUUGCACUGAUUUCAACAAUGAAGCGAGUGGCGAACUGGUGAGUAACACGUGGGGAAUCUGCCCAGAAGCAGGGGAUAACACUUGGAAACAGGUGCUAAUACCGUAUAACAACAAAAUCCGCAUGGAUUUUGUUUGAAAGGUGGCUUCGGCUAUCACUUCUGGAUGAUCCCGCGGCGUAUUAGUUAGUUGGUGAGGUAAAGGCCCACCAAGACGAUGAUACGUAGCCGACCUGAGAGGGUAAUCGGCCACAUUGGGACUGAGACACGGCCCAAACUCCUACGGGAGGCAGCAGUAGGGAAUCUUCCACAAUGGACGAAAGUCUGAUGGAGCAAUGCCGCGUGAGUGAAGAAGGGUUUCGGCUCGUAAAACUCUGUUGUUAAAGAAGAACACCUUUGAGAGUAACUGUUCAAGGGUUGACGGUAUUUAACCAGAAAGCCACGGCUAACUACGUGCCAGCAGCCGCGGUAAUACGUAGGUGGCAAGCGUUGUCCGGAUUUAUUGGGCGUAAAGCGAGCGCAGGCGGUUUUUUAAGUCUGAUGUGAAAGCCUUCGGCUUAACCGGAGAAGUGCAUCGGAAACUGGGAGACUUGAGUGCAGAAGAGGACAGUGGAACUCCAUGUGUAGCGGUGGAAUGCGUAGAUAUAUGGAAGAACACCAGUGGCGAAGGCGGCUGUCUAGUCUGUAACUGACGCUGAGGCUCGAAAGCAUGGGUAGCGAACAGGAUUAGAUACCCUGGUAGUCCAUGCCGUAAACGAUGAGUGCUAAGUGUUGGAGGGUUUCCGCCCUUCAGUGCUGCAGCUAACGCAUUAAGCACUCCGCCUGGGGAGUACGACCGCAAGGUUGAAACUCAAAGGAAUUGACGGGGGCCCGCACAAGCGGUGGAGCAUGUGGUUUAAUUCGAAGCUACGCGAAGAACCUUACCAGGUCUUGACAUCUUCUGCCAAUCUUAGAGAUAGACGUUCCCUUCGGGGACAGAAUGACAGGUGUGCAUGAUGUCGUCAGCUCGUGUCGUGAGAUGUGGGUAGUCCCGCACGAGCGCACCCUAUAUCAGUGCAGCAUUCAGUGGGCACUCUUGGUGAGACUGCCGUGACA
rnacentral:rRNA from 1 species